UUGGUUUCAACCAGCAGCUACUUGAUCCCAGCUCCUGCUAAGAAUUUCCCGGUACACAGGAGAGAAUGACACAGCCCUGCUGCCCUCUGGAGCCAGUGGCUGGAGGCACACAGGGGUUGGGGACAGCAGGAAGGCCACCUGGACGCGAGAGCGACUCCAUCUUCCCCCACAGCCUGGCCCUGAAGUACUUGGUAAUGAGGUUUCCUCCUUAGUCAGCUGCUCUCUGAAGCGACACCGGGAGCUGGGACUCCGGAUGCCGGCAGAGCCCUGGCCGCGUGCUGCGGGGCCGGCGUCUGCUGAGCCAGGCAGGCUGCACAGAGAAUACGCCAGAAGCCCAUGAGACACAGGACUGGAACCAGCAGCCUGAACUAGAACCAACAGCCAAAAAAGCUGAGCUCUGGAAACCUCAAGGACCCUUCCAGUAGCUCCCCAGGAAAGCCACCUGGUUCAGCCAUUCAUCUGCCGUGUCUGUGGAAGGGAGCAAAUGCCACCACGCCAGGGCGGUGAAAACACCCACGGCCGCAUCUCCUGCUUGCACACUCCAGCCCCUGUGCGAACGGCAAAGAAGUUCAUGACCGAUUAGAAAUAAAAAAUAUGGUCUUUCACCACUGAUAAUUGGAGAGGUCCCUAGGAGAUGAUGGAACUGAACACGGAGGAACGUCCUUGAUGCAGGACCUGCCCUCUGUCUGGGGAACAUAGCAUGAAGGGACGACAAGCUCUGACUCAGGGCCGGCAACCCCUUCCCCUGCCAGCCGUGGCUCUUCACCACGGAGGCUCCAGCGACGCCCAACUCCCUACAGGAGCCUGGAGACAGGUCAUUCCAAGGCAGCAGGAAGUGAGGCUGCCACGCAGCUGGCUGGGAGACAGGGAGACCGUCCCAGGUCAUCCACACAAGCCCAAGGCAAUCACAGGGCUCCUUAAACGCUGAGGAGGAGGCAGGAGAGUCAGAGAUGACAGACAAGGAGCACCGGGUGAUGCGACAAGAGCCUCGACCAGCCAUCGUGGCUCUGAAGAUGGAAGAAGACACAAGCUAAGGACUGUGGUGGCCCCUGGAAGGUGGAGAAGGCAAUGAAGUGAUGUCCCACGAGAGCCUCCAGAAGGAAUGCGACCCAGCCCACACCCUGAUUUUAGCCCAGCGAGACCUGUGUCAGACUUUUGACCCAUACAUUGUAAGAUAACAAAUUUAUGUUGCUUUAAGCCACUAAGUCUGGGCUCAUUUGUUAACAACAACAGGAAACGAGUACACCUGGCCACGUCAUCAGGCACAUGGUAGGCGCUCACUAAAUCCACCGAGUUGUGUGCUUGAGAGAGCUCUUUGACCUUGGAAGGCAUGAGGCUCAUGCACUGUGCUCAGAUGCUGCACUUUGUGUACCCAGCGCAAAAGUCAGGAUGACAGUCCGGGCCCCUGACAGCAAAUACGUUUCCAAUUAUCUAGUAACUUCUAAAAAUCUUAAUAAAAGGGAGGGGGAUU